CCUACGGGAGGCAGCAGUGGGGGAAUCUUGCGCAAUGGGCGAAAGCCUGACGCAGCCAUGCCGCGUGAAUGAUGAAGGUCUUAGGAUUGUAAAAUUCUUUCACCGGGGACGAUAAUGACGGUACCCGGAGAAGAAGCCCCGGCUAACUUCGUGCCAGCAGCCGCGGUAAUACGAAGGGGGGCUAGCGUUGCUCGGAAUUACUGGGCGUAAAGGGAGCGUAGGCGGAUAGUUUAGUCAGAGGUGAAAGCCCAGGGCUCAACCUUGGAAUUGCCUUUGAUACUGGCUAUCUUGAGUAUGGGAGAGGUUAGCGGAACUCCGAGUGUAGAGGUGAAAUUCGUAGAUAUUCGGAAGAACACCAGUGGCGAAGGCGGCUAACUGGCCCAUUACUGACGCUGAGGCUCGAAAGCGUGGGGAGCAAACAGGAUUAGAUACCCUGGUAGUCCACGCCGUAAACGAUGAGUGCUAGUUGUCGGCAUGCAUGCAUGUCGGUGACGCAGCUAACGCAUUAAGCACUCCGCCUGGGGGAGGUGCGGUCGCGAGAAUUAAACUUAAAUAGAAGUUAGUACGGCGUGAGACGUGCCGACGGACGACGACGAGGGAGGAGG
rnacentral:rRNA from 1 species